rnacentral:rRNA from 1 species
UAAGACAGGGGACCCGAGCGUUAGUCGGAAUUACUGGGCUUAAAGGGUGCGUAGGCGGACCUGUAAGUGUCGUGUGAAAGCCCACCGCUCAACGGUGGAACUGCACGGCAAACUGCAGGUCUCGAGGUUGGUAGAGGCGGGUGGAACGAUUGGUGGAGCGGUGGAAUGCGUAGAUAUCAAUCGGAACGCCAAAGGUGAAGACAGCCCGCUGGGCCAAUCCUGACGCUGAGGCACGAAAGCGUGGGGAGCAAACAGGAUUAGAUACCCUGGUAGUCCACGCCCUAAACGAUGUGUGCUGAAUCACGGCAGCUCUGACGCUGUCGGGAUUGUAGAGAAAUUGGUAAGCACACCGCCUGGGGAGUACGGUCGCAAGGCUA